rnacentral:lncRNA from 1 species
CCAAAAUUCAAAUACUUCACAUAAAAGAAAAAAGGUCUGCAAAUCUCUAAAACCCCUUCCAACUCUAACAUCUUCAAGACUUACCCAGAAUCAAACUCAUCUCCUCAGAGUUGAGGCAGAGUUGUGUUGUCACAAUUUUGGCCUCUUUUAGGGAAGAGGGAUGGUCAGAAGCCCUGGGCAUGUCCAGACAAAUCAUCUUCCCUGGGGAGAGCUCCCUAGUGAAAAUCCACCAGAAGAUGCUCAUCCACUUCUCCAUAACUCAGAAGACCACACUCUUUUCUUCUUUCUUCUUCCUUAGAGGCAUAAACAAGAUGCAGAUGGCUCUGUUAUUAGCAAUGCAGGAAGACUUCAGGAUACUCCAGUUUAAAUUCAGGUGUCCUCAGCUUUUAAACUCACUCUGAAGAAAGUGGACAUACCUGCUCUUUUUGACAGUUGCUCCCAUUUUGGCCAUCAGUGAAGAUGAUGUCCCUGUACUGCAGACUAGAAAUGGUUACUUAGUUCCUGACACACAUCAGCAAGAAUGAGUAAAGAGGAGCUCUGGCUCUUUGGGCCCUGGACAUGCUCUGAGGAGGACUUCCUGAUAUCUUCCAGUCCACACAGGACCUCCCAAGGCAAAUUUUUUGUUCCUGGCCAUAGCUUGGGGCUUCCCUGGUGGCUCAGAAUGCAAUCUGCCUGCAAUGCGGGAGACCCAGGUUUGAUCCCUGGGUCAGGAAGAUCUCCUGGAGAAGGGAAUGGCUAUCCACUCCAGUAUUCUUGCCUGGAGAAUUCCAAGGACAGAUGAGCUUGGUGGGCUACAGGCCAUGGGAUCACAAAGAGUCAGACAUGACUGAGCAACGAACACUACCACCAAGUAUUUUAUUAGACUAUCCCAAAUGCUCAUCUUGAAUUUGGUGAAAAUCAGUUCUUUUAACAAUAAU